GCAGCGGUAGUUCAAAGGUAGAAUGCUUGCCUUCCAUGCUGGAGAUCCAGGUUUGAUUCCUGGCCAGCA
rnacentral:tRNA from 1 species